UGUCUCAUCCGAAGGAUAGCCCUGCCAACAAUGGAGCAUCAGCCUAAACCGUACCAAGUCACGUAAUGUCGCGUCAAUCUUGUCAAGACCCGACUUGGGACCCACAAACUUCUGAAUCUGAGAUGAGUACUGCCAGACAAUGAACGUCAUUGUGGAAACAGAAUCAGAAACCAAAUCAACACUGCGUCCAGAGCAAGAAGAGUUAUUCCCCUGUGACAUCUUAGAAAUAAAAACUUCUAACCAUAA